rnacentral:rRNA from 1 species
AUUGAACGCUGGCGGCAGGCUUAACACAUGCAAGUCGAGCGGGGGAAGGUAGCUUGCUACCGGACCUAGCGGCGGACGGGUGAGUAAUGCUUAGGAAUCUGCCUAUUAGUGGGGGACAACAUCUCGAAAGGGAUGCUAAUACCGCAUACGUCCUACGGGAGAAAGCAGGGGAUCUUCGGACCUUGCGCUAAUAGAUGAGCCUAAGUCGGAUUAGCUAGUUGGUGGGGUAAAGGCCUACCAAGGCGACGAUCUGUAGCGGGUCUGAGAGGAUGAUCCGCCACACUGGGACUGAGACACGGCCCAGACUCCUACGGGAGGCAGCAGUGGGGAAUAUUGGACAAUGGGGGGAACCCUGAUCCAGCCAUGCCGCGUGUGUGAAGAAGGCCUUAUGGUUGUAAAGCACUUUAAGCGAGGAGGAGGCUACUUUAGUUAAUACCUAGGGAUAGUGGACGUUAUUCGCAGAAUAAGCACCGGCUAACUCUGUGCCAGCAGCCGCCGUAA